AGACAUCUGGGCAAGUCAACAGGAAGGUGGAUAUCCAAAUCUCUCUCUUCGCAAUGAGUUUCCAGUUAGAUGGAGGAGAGAGUAAUAAAACACAGAGCUGAGAUUCCUGACUUCACAGAUCCCUGAGGAGAUGUUUACUAAAGGGAAUCUUCUGGUCACUGUUACCUUCCUCCGUACUUACCUGCCUCAUGGAGAACCCGAAAGGAAGAAGCUAUACGACUGGGGACACAUGUCUUAGAAGCACACUCAUUAGAUAAAGUGUCGCAUACUCUUUGAUAAGGUAAGGCUCCCUGGACGAGAUGUUUUACAGGUACCAUGAGCUCAGUGAAUUGCUUUUGGAAAGACACUCAGCGGAGUGGGCACCACGAGGUUAGGAGAAGCAGCUUCUGCUCGUCAUAACUUUGGCAAAUGUUUACACAUCAGUAAUGAAAAAUAUUCUCUUGGCGAUUUCAGGCUUGUUACUAUGGAUGUUGUUUGCUAACAUUGACUAUUUUUCCUAACUGCUUAUAGAAACUCCAGGCUGUCACCCAUCUGUUCUCUCAUCAAAGUAGUUUUGGGCCAGCAACUAUUUCAGACAUUUCUACAGUUUCAGAUGUCUCACUCUGCCUAUGACUGUAUGUUGUACUUGAGGACUGGACGCACAGGGUAAAGUGCAAAUAGCAAGCAUUCAGGUCCAACUCUCCUCCUUCUGGUUAACAAUAUGAAAGAAAGAGGUAGUAUCGGAAUUAUUUUAGUUCAAUGUAGCCAUUAUAAAAUGUGUAUAUAUUUUAAAACAUCAUGUGGUACAUGAUAAAUAUAUACAACUUUUAUUUUUCAAUAAAAAAUUAUAAAAAAAGU
rnacentral:lncRNA from 1 species